rnacentral:sRNA from 1 species
UCCCUUCCGAAGUAAUAAUUAAUUUAGAAACAUCAAGGUCUUUACCAUCUGUUUCCUUAAUAAGAUUUUUGAGAUCAGCUUCGAAAGUGGCGCUACAAGCACUAAGAAAUAAAACUGAAGAUAAUAGUGGGGUUAAUAAGAAUUUAAAUUUCAUUAGCGCACGUAGUAAAUUACUUAAUUAAGAAAAGCAAGUAUCUAAAGAGAUUAACUGUGUAUUCAGAAUUUGUUCUAGUAUCAUAGCCUUCCAAAAAGAUUUUCUUAAGAUCUCUUUGACUUUGUUUAUCUUGCCUUGCAAUGAUCAACUAAGUGAAACAGGGAACUCAAUUCAUUCUGUGUCAACGCCUUCCCCUGUCUUAGUAAUGAAACUUAUCGUUUUAGAUUGGUUCUUUGAAGAUGGCUUAAUUGCAAGAGGAAGAUCAAAAACAUGUUUGUCACCUUUUUUGGCAGCAAACCCAUUGGAAGAAUAAUUUCCAUGCCAAUUAAAGUUAUAGUUCAACUUAGCAUUUAUCGAAAAAUUAUUAAGAUCUUGAUAUUCCAUAUCGAAAUAUUCAACUUUUAGUUCGAUUUUUAAAGGAUCAUUGCCUGUUGCAUAAAUACCAACAUCGGGAAAAUUAAUUUUCUCAAUAUCUAUUUCACCUUUUUCCGCACUCUGUUUUCAGGCAUCUAACAAUAGUUUUGUGGUUUUAUCAGGAUUAACUUCGUAAGAUUUCUUUAGAGAAGUUAUUAAGUUUUUUCUGCCUUCAGAAGUUUUGAUUACUUUGUACACAUCAACGUCUUGUUUAGUGGUUUCUUGAAUAAGAUUUCUUAGAUCAGACUGGAUAGAAGCAUAAGCACUAAACAAUAAAGUUGAAGAUAAAAACGGAAUUGAAAGGUAUUUAAAUUUCAUUGAGGUACAGAAAAACUAACUAUGGCAAUAGAACCUUUUUGGUAAUGGUAAAUUUUAUCUAGUGUUUUAUUGUUUUUCAACUUAAUUCAGUAAAAGCAUCCACAUCUAAAUAAAAAAGCCAUCUGUUUAGGGCGAAAAGCAGAUGACUAAAAAUAAUUUUUUAACGAUUUAAAAGCUAACGGAGAUUGUUAGUUUGAUGUAUAAGUAAAAAUAUGUUUUCUAAAAAUUUAUUAAGUUGGCCGGGAGCAGUAAAAACUUUUGAUUCCAGCAGCUCUUCCUGCUCCCACUAAAUAAAUUGACUUGGUUUUACAAAGACGCCAAAAAGUUUGGAGCUUUUUGUAAUUUAGUUUUUUAGCUUCUUCUAACUAUUAAGAAAUAUUUACUUUUCUCAAAAGCUUUUGAAAGGUUUUUGUCACUUCGCUAUUUUUAAAGGCAUUUAAGAGAUGUAAAUACAUCGCUUAUGUUUCUAAAUACUCUUAAAAAUUUAUUUGGGUGACUUGGAUCGCUCUUGAUGUUGUUUUGUUUGAAGUCUCUU